GCACAAGCGGUGGAGCAUGUGGAUUAAUUCGAUGCAACGCGAAGAACCUUACCAAGGCUUGACAUGAACCGGAAUGGCGCAGAGAUGUGUCAGCCACUUGUGGCCGGUUUACAGGUGGUGCAUGGUUGUCGUCAGCUCGUGUCGUGAGAUGUUGGGUUAAGUCCCGCAACGAGCGCAACCCUCGUCCCUAGUUACCAGCGGGUUAUGCCGGGCACUCUAGGGAGACUGCCGGUGUCAAACCGGAGGAAGGUGGGGAUGACGUCAAGUCAUCAUGGCCCUUACGUCCAGGGCGACACACGUGCUACAAUGGCCGGUACAGAGCGUCGCCAACCCGCGAGGGUGAGCCAAUCGCCAAAAGCCGGUCUAAGUUCGGAUUGUAGUCUGCAACUCGACUGCAUGAAGCCGGAAUCGCUAGUAAUCGUGGAUCAGCCACGCCACGGUGAAUACGUUCCCGGGC
rnacentral:rRNA from 1 species